rnacentral:rRNA from 1 species
GAACUUCCUUUGUUUAACCGUUUGGAAGGAUCUUUAGGGAAAUUCGGUACCCUUUCCCGGUUCCAAGUUCACCCACUCUUUGUUUAAGUGUACCUCUAUAGUUUCCUCGGCGGGCUCGCCCGCCGCCAGGAACCCACGAAACCCCUUGCAUUAUACACGAAAACUUCUGAUAACAAACCUAAAUUAUUACAACUGUCAACAAUGGAUCUCUUGGUUCUGGCAUCGAUGAAGAACGCAGCGAAAUGCAUGUAAGUAGUAAAAUUGCAGAAUUCAGUGAAUCAUCGAAUCUUUGAACGCUCAUUGAGGCCAUCGGUUUUCCUUUGGCCAUGCAUUUUCGAGCGUCAUUUACACCCUCAAGAACCAAGAGAGUCGGGCGUCAGUCCCGCAAAAAUCGCGCGCGGACUUCCCUCAAAGUCAUGGGCGGCGGUCGGGCCGGCUCCUCGCGCAGCACAUGGCGAGUCCGCCGAGGAAGCUAUAGAGGUACACGUAGACAAAGGGUGGGUGAAUAAGGCAGCGCCGAAGCGCGCCGAACUCGUAAUGUCACU